CCCUUAGACACUCUAGGCGGCACGCGCGCUACACUGGGUGGAAGAACGUGUUACUGCCAUCGAAAGGUGGGGUGAAUCACGAAUUCUUGCCCGUGAAUGGGAUAGUUUGUCGCAAUUUUCGGACUUGAACUAGGAAUCCCUUGUAAGCAUGCUCAAGAAUAGCGUGUUGAAUACGUCCCUGCCGUUUGUACACGCCGCCCGUCGUUUCUUCCGACUGAUACUCAUUGUGAGUUGCAAGGAUCCCUCAUUGGAGAAUUGCCGCGAAUGCUUUGUAUUGGAGGAAGAAAAAGUCGUAACA
rnacentral:rRNA from 1 species